rnacentral:rRNA from 1 species
UCCAGCCAUGCCGCGUGGGUGAAGAAGGCCUAUCGGGUUGUAAAGCCCUUUUGUUGGGAAAGAAAAGCAGUCGGUUAAUACCCGAUUGUUCUGACGGUACCCAAAGAAUAAGCACCGGCUAACUUCGUGCCAGCAGCCGCGGUAAUACGAAGGGUGCAAGCGUUACUCGGAAUUACUGGGCGUAAAGCGUGCGUAGGUGGUGGUUUAAGUCUGUUGUGAAAGCCCUGGGCUCAACCUGGGAAUUGCAGUGGAUACUGGGUCACUAGAGUGUGGUAGAGGGUAGCGGAAUUCCCGGUGUAGCAGUGAAAUGCGUAGAGAUCGGGAGGAACAUCCGUGGCGAAGGCGGCUACCUGGACCAACACUGACACUGAGGCACGAAAGCGUGGGGAGCAAACAGGAUUAGAUACCCUGGUAGUCCACGCCCUAAACGAUGCGAACUGGAUGUUGGGUGCAAUUUGGCACGCAGUAUCGAAGCUAACGCGUUAAGUUCGCCGCCUGGGGAGUACGGUCGCAAGACUGAAACUCAAAGGAAUUGACGGGGGCCCGCACAAGCGGUGGAGUAUGUGGUUUAAUUCGAUGCAACGCGAAGAACCUUACCUGGUCUUGACAUCCACGGAACUUUCCAGA